rnacentral:rRNA from 1 species
GUAAGCGUAUGUAGGCGGACAUGUUAGUCGUGGGUCAAAUUUCAGAGUAGCUCUGAAGCUGCUCACGAAACGGCAUGUCUAGAGAAAGUGAGAGAUGACUGGAACUCAUGGUGUAGUAGUGAAAUGCGUUGAUAUCAUGGGGAACACCAAAGGCGAAGGCAGGUCAUUGGCACUUUUCUGACGCUGAGAUACGAAAGCGUGGGUAGCGAAUGGGAUUAGAUACCCCAGUAGUCCACGCCGUAAACGAUGCAUAUUCAGCAUGUGGAGUAUCGACCCUCUGCGUGUUUUAGCUAACGCGUUAAAUAUGCCGCCUGGGAAGUACGAGCGCAAGCUUAAAACUCAAAGGAAUAGACGGGGAUCCGCACAAGUGGUGGAGCAUGUGGUUUAAUUCGACAAUAAGCGAGAAACCUCACCAGGACUAGAAACUUAGCUGCAAGCCUUAGAAAUAAGGCCGCCUUCGAGGGUGCUAAGCAGGUGCUGCAUGGUCGUCGUCAGCUCGUGCCGUAAGGUGUUCCCUUAAGUGGGGAAACGAGCGCAACCCUUGUCGUGUGUUAUAUGUGUCACACGAGACUGCCCAGACUUUAGUCUGUGAAUCAAUUGAUUCGUAGUUUAAAGUCUGGGAGGAAGGAGAGGAUGACGUCAGAUCAGCAUGGCCCUUGACGUCCUGGGCAACACACGUGCUACAAUGGCUAGAAUAAAGGGUUGCCAAACCGCGAGGUGGAGCUAAUCCCAAAAAUCUAGUCUCAGUUCGGAUUGGAGUC